UUGAAAGGGAAACGAUUGAAGUCAGUCGUCCCGCCGAGAAAUCAGCUUUCCGAGUGCUUGCUUGUGGCCGUCCCCGAGCUGUCAAAGCCCUCGCCGUUUGCGUGUUGGUGCUUUUUUGGUGUACUUUUUCGUAUGGUAGGCCACCGUCAGUUUCGAUCACCAUAAAAUGAUCGGAGGAAUGUAGCUUCGAUCUCGUAUUGAAGUGUUAUACCCUUUGGUAGAUGUGGUGAUCGAACCUGAGGAUUGCAACGAAUACCCUUUGGCCUAUCCGUCUGACCUCUGGAAGUUGCUUGGGUGCCGAAAGCUUGCUUAUGGUAUUUAAGACGACGCUCAAAAGGUUAGAACGUGAUCCCCUUCGUUAAGGAUGUUGACGUA
rnacentral:rRNA from 1 species